UACGAAGGGGGCUAGCGUUGUUCGGAAUUACUGGGCGUAAAGCGCAUGUAGGCGGCCACGCAGGUCGGAUGUGAAAUCCCUCGGCUCAACCAAGGAAGUGCAUUCGAAACCGCAUGGCUCGAGUCCCGGAGAGGAAGGUGGAAUUCUCGGUGUAGAGGUGAAAUUCGUAGAUAUCGAGAGGAACACCGGUGGCGAAAGCGGCCUUCUGGACGAGGACUGACGCUGAGAUGCGAAAGCGUGGGGAGCAAACAGG
rnacentral:rRNA from 1 species